CCGGGUUCGAGUGAUUCUCCUGCCUCAGCCUCCCGAGUAGCUGGGACUACAGGUUGUUGGCUUCUUCAGCACCCAGUGGGACACAUGAGGCAAAGAGAAAAUUCAAAGACCUUCCUGCUGAGUCAUUCCUUGGGUCCUGAAGUCCCCAGCCAGUUUGUCUUCUUCUCACCACCUUUCAGAGUCUUGUUUGUUUUAUAAAUAAUUAUCAGGGUUUUUAGCUAUACUUAGCGGGAAGAUCAGUGUAAAGCACACCUACUCUAUCUUUCUGGAAGCAGAAGUCCAGUCUCAUGUACUAAGACAAUGGAAGAAAGAACAACAACAACAAAAUCAAGCUUUUUGUAGAUGUUGGGGCACUUUGAUUAUUUUGUCUGAAGGCAAUGUCAGCAAAUUGAAGAGUCAGUUUGCCUGAACUCUUGGGCAUCACCAUAA